GCAGGUUGAAGCGCGGGUAAGACCGCGUGGAGGACCGAACCCACCUGGGUUGAAAACCGGGGGGAUGACCUGGGGCUAGGGGUGAAAGGCCAAUCAAAUUCCGUGAUAGCUGGUUCUCUCCGAAAUGCAUUUAGGUGCAGCGUCGGUUGAUUGCAUCGCGGGGGUAGAGCUACUGGAUGCUUGCGGGCCCGUAUGGGGUACCAACAGCAGCCAAACUCCGAAUACCGUUGAUGUGUAUUCCGGCAGUGAGUCGGCGGGGGAUAAGCUCCGUCGUCGAGAGGGAGACAGCCCAGAUCGUCGUCUAAGGUCCCGAAGCGUGUGCUAAGUGGGAAAGGAUGUGGAGUCGCAUAGACAGCCAGGAGGUUGGCUCAGAAGCAGCCAUCCUUGAAAGAGUGCGUAACAGCUCACUGGUCUAGUGGUUCCGCGCCGACAAUGUAGCGGGGCUCAAGCACACCACCGAAGACGCGGCAGCAAUCUUCAUGGUUGCUGGGUAGGAGAGCGUCCUGCGAGGGGCGAAGCGGCCGGGUAACCGUGCCGUGGACUUCGUGGGAGUGAGAAUGCAGACAUGAGUAGCGAGAGACGGGUGAGGAUCCCGUCCGCUGGAUGACCAAGGGUUCCGGGGCCACGUUCGUCGUCCCCGGGUGAGUCGGGUCCUAAGGCGAGGCCGACAGGCGUAGUCGAAUGGAUGAACGGGUGGAUAUUCCCGUACCGACCAUGGACCGGCAAAACCGAGACGGUGAGUACUAACCUCCGCCUCGUGGUGGUUCCUUCCUUCGGGUUGGUUCCGCCGCGUGGUGUUGGGAGCGUAGCCGUAGUAGGUCAGCGCAGGGGUGACACGGAAUGGGAGCCGGCCGCGGAGGUGGUUUUCCGUGGUCAAGCACGCAGCCCGUCCCAUAGGCAAAUCCGUGGGGCAUGCAGGGUGAGGUGCGAUGAUGGGCGCCUUUCAGGCGCGAUAUCCGGUGGUCCAGGCCGUCGAGAAAAGCCUCGGCGCGAGGGGCGUUGCCGCCCGUACCCCAAACCGACACUGGUGGUCAGGUAGAGAAUACCAAGGCGAUCGAGCGAAUCCUGGUCAAGGAACUCGGCAAAUCACUCCCGUGCCUUCGGUAUAAGGGAGACCCCUGAUGGUGAUGGAACUUGCUUCCGGAGCUUUCGGGGGUGGCACAGACCAGGGGGUAGCGACUGUUUACCAAAAACACAGGUGCAUGCGAAGGCGCAAGCCGCUGUAUAUGCACUGACGCCUGCCCGGUGCCGGAAGGUUAAGAGGAUCCGUCAGCCCUCGGGUGAAGCGGUGAAUUCAAGCCCCGGUAAACGGCGGUGGUAACUAUAACCAUCCUAAGGUAGCGAAAUUCCUUGUCGGGUAAGUUCCGACCUGCACGAAUGGCGUAACGA
rnacentral:rRNA from 1 species